AUCCUUUUGUGGUUCAUAUGCUUAAUGAUUGGGUUUUUAUGCCACAUGUGAGAUCUCCCUAGAGCCUUAUUAUGUGAGAACAUGACUCAUCUGACA
ensembl:snoRNA